AUGGAGGCCACAGUCUCCGCCAAGAGUCCCCGCCGUUUCCUGCUUCAACAGUGCUUGGACGGAACCCGGCGCUCGUCCCCCACCCGGGCCGGCCCUUCAGAGCCAGCCCUCCGCCAUCUCUUCGUCGCGCCCUCGGACCGCUCCAAGGCCCCAGCCACCGUUCGCCGCCACCUUUUCUCAGCCGCCGCCAUGACGACCGCAUCCCCCUCACAGGUGAGCCAGAACUACCACCAGGACUCGGAGGCUGCCAUCAACCACCAGAUCAACCUGGAGCUCUACGCCUCCUACGUCUACCUGUCCAUGUCUUACUACUUACUACCGAUGAUGUGGCUUUGAAGAACUUCGCCAAAAGCUGCAGAACCGAGGUGGCCGAAUCUUCCUUCAGAUAUCAAGAAACCAGACCGUGAUGAUUGGGAGAAGGGCUGAAUGCAAUGGAGUGUGCAUUACAUUUGGAAAAGAGCGUGAAUCAGUCACUACUGGAACUGCACAAACUGGCCACUGAUAAAAGUGACCCCCAUUUGUGUGACUUCAUUGAGACUCAUUACCUGAAUGAGCAGGUGAAAUCCAUCAAAGAAUUGGGUGACCACGUAACCAACCUGCGCAAGAUGGGGGCUACCGAAUCUGGCAUGGCAGAGUAUCUCUUUGACAAGCACACCUUGGGAAACAGUGAUAGUGAGAGCUAAGCCUUAGGCUGUCUUCCCAUAGCCACAAGGGUGACUUCCCUGGUCGCCAAGGCAGUGCAUGCAUGUUGGGGUUACCUUUACCUUUUCUAUAAGUUGUACCAAAA